GAUGAACGUUAGCGGGAGGCUUAAUACAUGCAAGUCGAGCGGUAAGUUUUUAUAGCAAUAUGAAGACCUAGAGCGGCGCACGGGUGAGUAACGCGUACACGACCUGGCCUAAACUGGGGGAUAGCCUUGGGAAACUGAGAGUAAUCCCGCAUGUGAUUAUGUUACUGAUGGUGAUAUAAUUAAAGCUUCGGCGGUUUAGGAUGGGUGUGCGUCUGAUUAGCUAGUUGGUAGUGUAACGGACUACCAAGGCGAUGAUCAGUAGGGGCGUGAGAGCGUGACCCCCCACAC
rnacentral:rRNA from 1 species